UACGUAGGGGGGCAAGCGUUUGUCCCGGGAUUUAUUGGGGCGUAAAGAGCGUGUAGGGCGGCCCAGGUAGGUCCGUUGUGAAAACUCGAGGCUCAACCUCGAGCUGUCGAUGGAAACCAUCUGGCUAGAGUCCGGAAGAGGAGAGUGGGAAUUCCCGGUGUAGCGGUGAAAUGCGUAGAGAUCCGGAGGGAACACCAGUGGCGAAGGCGACACGCUGGGCCCGUACCCUGACACUGAUGCGCGACAGCAUGGGGAGCAAACAGG
rnacentral:rRNA from 1 species